rnacentral:lncRNA from 12 species
AUGCUGAGCUGAAGGCAGACACUCAACCGCUGAAUCACCCUGGCAUCCCAAGGUCUCUGCUUUUUUUUUAAUUAAUUAAUUAAUUAAUUAAUUAAUUGAUUUUUUAUUUUUAUUUUUUAGUUCUCUGCUUUUUAAAGCAGGAAAGCUUUUUGUUCAUCUCUCUUUGUAUUUUACAAGAAGAAGAAGAAGAAGAAGAAGAAGGAGGAGGAGGAGGAGGAGGAGGAGGAGGAGGAGGAGGAGGAGAAGGAGAAGAAGAAGAAAGAAAUUAUGGUCCUAACAUGGACAGGGAAUGCUUUAUGUCUAUGGAAACCCUGGAUAUUUGAAAGACAGCUGUCAAUUUUCUCAAUACUUUAUCAUAAAGCCACUAAGAGAAGAAGCAAUAAGUUUAAGGCAGAAUAAGAGUAACUGUCCCAGCUUCAACGCACCAAAGCUCUGAUAUACUAUGAAAAUUGAUGCCAUCGUCACAGUGGAUCAAGAAGCAUGCAGACUAUUUUCUUGUCAAACUGAUGACCUGCUUCUGUAGCACUUCAUAUUGGUGUCUUCCAGGCCCCAAUGGCAGAGCUCUAGAAAUAUCCAAAGGAUGUAGAUAUCAAUAUUGGAACACAAGGCUCUCUGCUUUAUGUAACAGAGGAGGUCUACUGGAAACAUCAAGAAUUUCUUGGAUCAUAGACCAUUACCUAUGCUUUCUUUUGCCACCCUAUUGCCAAGAGCAGCAAGUUUUACCAUUCCUUAUUUCUGAGAAGUUGGUGUUAAAAGGAAGAUAAAGGUAUGUUUACCUACAUUUCAGUUUCAGUGAAAGCCAAGAACAAUACAGCAGGUUUCAAGUAUUCUAGAUCUCAUGGCAAAGGUGCUUGA